rnacentral:rRNA from 1 species
AGAGUUUGAUCCUGGCUCAGGAUGAACGCUAGCUACAGGCUUAACACAUGCAAGUCGAGGGGCAGCAUCAUCAAAGCCUGCUUUGAUGGAUGGCGACCGGCGCACGGGUGAGUAACACGUAUCCAACCUGCCGACAACACUGGGAUAGCCUUUCGAAAGAAAGAUUAAUACCGGAUGGCAUAAUUUUCCCGCAUGGGAUAAUUAUUAAAGAAUUUCGGUUGUCGAUGGGGAUGCGUUCCAUUAGGCAGUUGGCGGGGUAACGGCCCACCAAACCUACGAUGGAUAGGGGUUCUGAGAGGAAGGUCCCCCACAUUGGAACUGAGACACGGUCCAAACUCCUACGGGAGGCAGCAGUGAGGAAUAUUGGUCAAUGGACGAGAGUCUGAACCAGCCAAGUAGCGUGAAGGAUGACUGCCCUAUGGGUUGUAAACUUCUUUUAUACGGGAAUAAAGUGAGCCACGUGUGGCUUUUUGUAUGUACCGUAUGAAUAAGGAUCGGCUAACUCCGUGCCAGCAGCCGCGGUAAUACGGAGGAUUCGAGCGUUAUCCGGAUUUAUUGGGUUUAAAGGGAGCGUAGGCGGGUUGUUAAGUCAGUUGUGAAAGUUUGCGGCUCAACCGUAAAAUUGCAGUUGAUACUGGCGACCUUGAGUGCAACAGAGGUAGGCGGAAUUCGUGGUGUAGCGGUGAAAUGCUUAGAUAUCACGAAGAACUCCGAUUGCGAAGGCAGCUUACUGGAUUGUAACUGACGCUGAUGCUCGAAAGUGUGGGUAUCAAACAGGAUUAGAUACCCUGGUAGUCCACACAGUAAACGAUGAAUACUCGCUGUUGGCGAUAUACGGUCAGCGGCCAAGCGAAAGCAUUAAGUAUUCCACCUGGGGAGUACGCCGGCAACGGUGAAACUCAAAGGAAUUGACGGGGGCCCGCACAAGCGGAGGAACAUGUGGUUUAAUUCGAUGAUACGCGAGGAACCUUACCCGGGCUUAAAUUACAUUUGAAUAAUCUGGAAACAGUUUAGCCGUAAGGCAAAUGUGAAGGUGCUGCAUGGUUGUCGUCAGCUCGUGCCGUGAGGUGUCGGCUUAAGUGCCAUAACGAGCGCAACCCUUAUCUUCAGUUACUAACAGGUCAUGCUGAGGACUCUGGAGAGACUGCCGUCGUAAGAUGUGAGGAAGGUGGGGAUGACGUCAAAUCAGCACGGCCCUUACGUCCGGGGCUACACACGUGUUACAAUGGGGGGUACAGAAGGCAGCUACCUGGUGACAGGAUGCUAAUCCCAAAAACCUCUCUCAGUUCGGAUCGAAGUCUGCAACCCGACUUCGUGAAGCUGGAUUCGCUAGUAAUCGCGCAUCAGCCAUGGCGCGGUGAAUACGUUCCCGGGCCUUGCACACACCGCCCGUCA